AGUCUACAUUUUUCAGCGUGAUCUCCGCUAUAGUUCGAUCUUGGACUUCUCCACCCUCAUAUUUUAGUGUGAUCUUGGCCAGUAAUCCUCUCUUCCUCUCUUGAUCCAUCAUGACGUAUAUGAACUCUCUUCAUGUCUUCACAUUCCACUUUUUUUGUGCUGCAGGUGGCCAAGCUAAGACCAUGUCUCCGUCUUGUGGAAGAUGCACACAGCGCGAUGAAUACAACUACAAAAAUUUGGAGGACGAAAAUAAACAUUUCUUGGUGCUUAUGUUGGGUGAUUUUCGCCAACAGAUGGUAACUAAUAUCUAUUCUUAGAUUUAGUCCCACUACGGAAUGCAUGUUUUGUUUCUUAUGCGUUUAGGCACUAGCUACUUUCCUAAGCAUUCAACAUGUUUCCUUGAAGCGUGUUUGGACCUUGUUCAGGAACUAUAUCGUUUCAGCAGAUAUAUUUUUAAAUUUCUUUGUGCAGAUAAUCUCAAAAGAGUGGGUGCGAUGCCUGAAAGGCGAGAUUCCGGAUGAGAUCAAGCUAGAAACUCGAAACAGGGCUAGUUACACAAUUAAGGUUGCCAAGUACCAAGAAAAGCAUGUUCUUAAAGUGGGUUGGCCCCAAUUCGUCGAGAACUUCCAUCUACAGUUGGGUGAUUCCUUACUAUUCAGAUACAAUGGAGACUCUCUGUUUAGUAUUGUAAUUUUCGAUAAGCUUGGCCGUGAGAAAGCAUCAUCUGUUCUUGUCGAUCCUUUUCCACCACAAGUCCAAGGAAGACGGGUCUGCAAGAAAAAUGAACGCGCUUUGUGAAACAUGUGAAAUCUGGGAUGAACAUCACUAUAUGAACUUGGACGAUGAAAAGAAAUAUUUUUUGAUGCGCAUGACGGGUGAUUUCCAAGAUAAGAUGGUAAUUCAUAUUCAAAACAGUACCACUCCCUUAGGUCAUGUGAUUUUGUUGUUUCUCAUGAGACCCGCUGUGUUUUUCUUCGUUCUUCUAGUUUAAAUUAUGUGUACCGUGUGUAGUUAUUGCAUCAUUGUGAACACUUCUCCAGUUAAUUUGAUGACUAGAUUUAUGCCAGCAUGAUAGAACAUUCUAGUAUGUUAGUUCGCCCAAAAAGUCCUUGUGGUAUGGUUGCCGUUUCAUUUUGUAUCUUGUUUACGAACUGUUCUUUCAAAUAAUAUAAUAUCUUGAAACGUAUUUCGGCAGAUCAUCCAAAAGGAAUUUGUUCAGCGUUUCAAGGGAGAGAUCCCAGGAGAGAUUGAACUUGAAACAAAGAAUAAAUGUCGAUACAUAAUUCAAGUUAUCAAGAACCAAGAAGAGCAGCUUGUGCUUGCAGCGGGAUGGGGGAGUUUCGUACAGAAGUUUCGUCUAGAGAUGGGUGACAGAAUAAUAUUAUUCGGAUACAAUGGGAACUCCUGGUUCAGUGUCAUAAUCUUGGAUCAACUUGGGCGUGAGAAGGCUUCAUCCGUUGUCGAUCCGCUCCCGCCUCGCUCAUGCUAAUGCCACCGCCUGCUCACUUUGAUGUUCAGCCUCAGCAGCAGGCCAUGCUAAUGCAGGCUCCCCUGAAUCAUUCCUUCUCCUCCAAGUCAUCAGCUGGUAUAAAAAUAACACAUAACAUAUUAUCCCCCUUUUAACAAACAUCUAUCUUUUAUACCUGUAUUUAUUUGUUUCCGGUUACACACACAGGAGAAGGAGAUGGCUCUUUCUCGUCACAUGAUCAUGUCCGGAAUGCACUUGGUUUCAGGCGUGUUGUUAGAAGAAAUCGAACCUCAUCUCAGAAGCAGCAGCAGAAGAAGGAUGGUUAUAUUACCACGGAUAAGACCAAGCUAACCCCUGCUCAGGAGCAGCAGGUGAAAGACAUGGUCCAGACUAUCCGUUCACGCAGAAGUGGCAUAACCAUCUUUGUUGCUCUGAUUGGCAAGGCCAAUGUUCAUCCCGGAUUCUCCCUCACUGUCCCAAUCAUGUACGGGCAGGAACAUUUUGGAGAUGGGAAAGUCAUCUGUUUCCAGCUAGGUGAGAAGAAAUGGAAUGCGAGCUUCAACGGUUCGCGCAAGUAUUAUCGGAUCGAAAGCGGAUGGAGGAGGUUUGUCCAGGACAACUGUUUGAAGAAGGGUGAUAUCUGCCUCUUUGAGCCAUUGAGCAACCAGAGGAGUACCAUGGAAGUCCAUAUCAUCCAUGUGAAUGAUGAAAAUUGACUUAUUGUUAUGCCAUAUUGCUGCUUUGCCGAUCUCCCUAACGGCGGUUGUUCUUUUGGUGAUGUGGGGUUUAAGAUUUAUGUAGGCUAGUAGAGUCAUGGUUCUAUAUUUUUCUUGCUGUUAUAUGCAAAUUUGAAGUUGACAUCUGA